GUCCUAGCCUAACGAUGUUCACUGGUGUGCCCGCGCACGCGGGUGUGCCGAAGCUAACGCAUUAAGUGAACCGCCUGGGAGUACGGUCGCAAGGCUGAAACUCAAGGAAUUGACGGGCCCGCACAAGCGGUGGAGCAUGUGGUUCAAUUCGACGCAACGCGAAGAACCUUACCUGGGCUCGAAGUGUCGUGGACAGCCGGUGAAAGCCGGUCUCCCGCAAGGGCCGCGAUAGAGGUGCUGCAUGGCUGUCGU
rnacentral:rRNA from 1 species